GUCGUGAGAUGUUGGGUUAAGUCCCGCAACGAGCGCAACCCUUGUCACUAGUUACCAGCGGGUAAAGCCGGGAACUCUAGUGAGACUGCCGGUGCCAAACCGGAGGAAGGUGGGGACGACGUCAAGUCAUCAUGGUCCUUACGUCCAGGGCUACACACGUGCUACAAUGGACGGGACAGUGGGUAGCAAGACCGCAAGGUGGAGCCAAUCCCUUAAACCCGUCCUCAGUUCGGAUUGUCGUCUGCAACUCGACGGCAUGAAGCUGGAAUCGCUAGUAAUCGUGGAUCAGCGAUGCCACGGUGAAUACGUUCCCGGGCCUUGUACACACCGCCCGUCACGCCAUGGAAGCUGUGAGUGCCCGAAGUCGGUGCCGCAACCGCAAGGAGCAAGCCGCCGAAGGCAAGCGCAGUGACUGGGGCGAAGUCGUAACAAGGUAGCCGUAGGGGAACCUGCGGCUGGAUCACCUCCUUAACGGAGUUUCGAGUAGGGUGCUUCGGCACUCGAAAGAUCUCUCGUAAGUCGCCAGUCUCCACAUCCAUAACGCUCGACUCGAUUUUCUUUAUAUAGCCGCUCGGCUUUUCGCGAGCGGCUUGCUGUUUGACAAUAGAUGGAAGUGAUCGUGGGACUAAGUCCGACUGGUUUUACGGCCAGGCGGACUGAUCGAAUCAUCACAUGUGAUGCAAUCCGCUAGGAAACAUGGAUUUGCUCACUCGUUGAGAAUUAGAUCGCGCGUGCUCUGCUUGACGGAAUAUUUGAGUCAAGCGAGCGAAAGCAUGUGGGGGAUGCCUGGGCACACAGAGGCGAUGAAGGCCGUGGUAAGCUGCGAUAAGCUCGGGGGAGCGGCACACACGCGGUGAUCCCGAGAUGG
rnacentral:sRNA from 1 species